rnacentral:lncRNA from 1 species
UUGAGCUUGAUCAUGUUAAUUUGUUUCCAGUUUAAUUUUAUCCAAACUUCAAACUAGUACUUGCAGUACACAAAUACACAAUAUUUUGUCCUUUUCUAUAUAUUAGUGCUUCUUCAACAACUUUCUUCCACAAAUCUAGUUUUAGUAUAUCGCACUCUCAAACAUCUGGGUGAAUCAGUCUGCGAAACACUGUGGUAAUCGUUUUUGUUUUCGUCUUAGCACAAUCAUCUUGUGUGUAUCUCGAGCGAGUCACAAGCACCUAUGGUUUAAAGAGGAUGUUCAUGAUCAUCUUGCGCCCCCCCACCCCC